rnacentral:tRNA from 1 species
GCCUUCGUGAUGUAGUGGUCAGCCGACUCGGCCCGUAUUCGAGAGGUCCGUGUUCGAAUCCCGACGAGGGCA